AACACAUAGCUGGAUUAAGGAAACUUUAAUAGUUCUUGUAUUCCAAAAGUAGCGAUUAUGCGGAAGACGUAUUUCCCCAAGUACCAACAGUUUAUUACAUUCAGUACGUUUCCGUGCUUUCUAGGAGAACAGUAUCUUUUAUCGAUGAGUUUGAAUUAUUAUUUCUAUGUAUUUUAUUCCUGAAAUUUAUUAAUAAUACCUAGGAUAUCAAUAUAGAAAAUUGGACAUGUUAAGAACCAAUUGUAGAGAAUGUUAAUUAAAAAGUUGAUAAUUAAUUGCUUUUGGUGACAAUUGAUUGUUUCUUUCUGGAAUGUAAAAGCACGUAAUCUUCUAAGUUUCUCUAAAUUGGUCGUUAUAACCUAUCAGCUUAGGCCAACGAAAGCUUAUUAGUAGCCAACCACUACGAGGGUAAUCACUUUCAUUGUUAAGUUUUCUGUAACAUAUUUGUUAGAGCUAGCGGAGCAUCCUUCUAAGCUCUGCGGAUGUUCCACCUUUAUUAAUCCUUAGAUCUUUAAGAACCUCCUACAAAGAAAACAGGCAUGUGAGAAAUUAUAUGUAGGCAGUUGGAUAUUUUUACUACUUGAUAUUCUUCUUUACUCUGGAAUUGGUAUUUAAUGUAGUGGAGGAUUAAUUUUUCAUUUGAAUACAUUUCAAAGUUAAUAUUUAAUACUAGGAUUAACAUUUAAUAUAUAAAAAAUAUUCUAAAAUUAAAAUAUUUAAUUCCAGAAUUAUUCUCCAGCCAAAAACUGUUCCAAAAAAAGAAUAAUAUAUAAGCUCAGUACUACUGUUUAAUUGCACAUCUCCUGUUAUUUAUGCAAGCAAUCUCCGUGCCGUUUCAAGAACACUUCCAGAUUUUUGGGAUCGUAGAAUAAUUGCCAAGCAAUACAGGAAACAUAAGCAACGUGACUGGAAUUUCAUUAAACCUGCACCGUACCAUAUGAUCAGCACGUGCUCGCCAAAUUUCUCCAGUUUAUAUGACUGGCAGAAUCCUGACAUGUGUUCACUAGGAUUGCAGAAAGGUCAGUGAAGGUGGAUCGCCCAGUGCAAACAGGUAGCGCGAGCCAGAGAGGGAGAGAAAGAGAGAGAGAGAGAGAGAGAGAGAGAGAGAGAGGGAGAAGCCAGUCCCUCGUGAAAAAAGCUACCCCUUCGCAGAACCCAUAAUUCUAGGAAAACAUCUAAAAAAUAAUAAAUUAAAUUACAAUAAAAAUGUUUAUUCUGAGACCAUGAGUCUGAGACUCUGGCUGAUAUCUAACUUAAUUUUGUCUUAUAGAGAAGUAUAAAAAGCUUAGGAAUAAUGUAAAGUAGACAAUUUUCAUCUGUAUAUUUCACCGUGAAAUAAUCUUUAUGAAUAAGAAUAUCAGAAGAGAAGGAUAUUUUUUAUCCAGAGGAUGCUUCGAAUUUUCAUCAGAAAGGAAGAAAGCAAGUGGUCUUGUUGAAUAGGAAGGAAACAGGAUUCAAAGGAGGCACGAGACCAGAGUCAGAUGGUCUUUAUGGUUCUUGAAUGGCGACAAGUGCUUCUCACAAUGUAGAUCCUCUUGACUUGCUAAUAAAAGUACUUAACCGCGCCACUCUUCCCGUUUUACCUUUCAUGCUGUGCUUCUAUAGAUUAUACGUCAUUAUUGGCAACAAGUUAUUCUGAAACUGUUAUAAUACUGAUAUCAAUAUUUAUCUUUUUUGUUUGACGAUCUUUCAAAACAACAUAAAAUUAUUUGUACUCUGUCAGUGAAUAAAUUCAAACUGAUUGAUAUAAUCUACAAAAUGUUCAUAAUUAUAUCUGUAAAUGUUCAUAACUAUAUCCAAUUAUAUAAACUGUUUCCUUGCGAAAAAGAUAAAGAACAUUUCAGUUUGUGCCAAAGUGUCAGCCAAGCCAAGUGAAGCACGUGGCAAGAUAUAUAGAUAACGGUAUGCGCGAACAUCAGAAAACCAGUAGCUAAUAAUCUGCCUAUUGUUUUAAAAGCAAAUAUUUUUCUAGGUUCCUAAUCCGCAAUACGGAUUACAAGUCUUUUACUGUGACUUGCUUUAAUAUUUACAGUCUACCAAGUCUUUUCAAUAUACCUGCUGCUUCGUCUACGAUUAUCAUCAAACAACAUCAACGGCGUCAGUUUUACAAAUUGUUUUAAAUUCGCAAUUCUACAAGCGAUCUAGAGAAAUUAACAAGAUUAACAGACAAGUUAAAUAAUUGAAACAAUGUAAUGGACCGGUAUAGUUAAUAUGUACCAAGUUUAACAAAUCUCUUCAGUAUCAAAUUUGACUAGUUCGAUCUAGAAUGAACCGUGUUAUUUCUAAUACUAAUUCUAUUGUUAACACAGCCACUAUUUCCAAUAACCAUUACUUUUAAUAAACAGCAUACUAUUAAUACAGGACUAAACUAAUCAAAUUUGGUAGUGAAGAGAUACGUUAAAACUGAUAUUACCUAAGAAGAUCGGACUUGAACAAAACCUACGAUUCAGUAAUAAUAGAAAUGUCCGAAAAUAACUGAAGAACAAGCUGAACAUCAUUUUGAACAUCAGCAAUCGUUCAACUACACAUAGUAAAAUCCCUACAACGUGGCUAAAUGCAUCCACGAUGAGGUUAAUCACAAUGAACGAUGGACAUGCUGGAAGACGAAGAUCUUGAUUCACGAACUGAAUGACUGCUCGUCGGUUUUCGGUCCGUAAACUUGAAACAUCUACUACGACAAUAUCUCCUAUGGCUUCUCAGCUAACGUUAUUGCCCAUGUGCACAAAGUGUCCCUGGGCUAGGCCGUGCGCAUUAUAAACGCUGCCUUUACGAUCCACGCCGACAGAUAGUUUCUACAAUGUUUGCACCGGUGCCAUCGCCUUCGCCAUGUGUCGAACAUGCGGCACCGUCAUCCCCAGCAGCAGCAAUAAGCCCGAGGUAGAAAAGUUGCAUAGUCUUCGGGCACGUACACAACCUGGAAAUUUGAUAAAUCUUAUGAAUGAAUUUCAUGAAUAAAGAUUAAGUAUCGUCCUUAAGGACCAGCAGUUGCUUUGAUGGAUGAAUGAAAUAGAAAUUAGUAUAGAAAUGUAUUAACGAUACUGUUUUACAGUUCACAAUUUUUAUGCAAAUUUAAUAUUUCUUGUAAACGCAGACGAAGAAAUAUAAUCUAAACAAUGA